GACAGAGGGUGCAAACGUUGUUUGGAAUUACUGGGCGUAAAGCGCGUGUAGGCUGCUUCGCAAGUCGGAUGUGAAAGCCCUGGGCUCAACCCAGGAAGUGCAUUCGAAACUGCAGAGCUGGAGUCCUGGAGAGGAAGGCGGAAUUCUCGGUGUAGAGGUGAAAUUCGUAGAUAUCGAGAGGAACACCGGUGGCGAAGGCGGCCUUCUGGACAGUGACUGACGCUGAGACGCGAAAGCGUGGGGAGCAAACGGG
rnacentral:rRNA from 1 species